rnacentral:rRNA from 1 species
GUUCGCCGGAAGACCAAGGGUUCCUGUCCAACGUUAAUCGGGGCAGGGUGAGUCGACCCCUAAGGCGAGGCCGAAAGGCGUAGUCGAUGGGAAACAGGUUAAUAUUCCUGUACUUGGUGUUACUGCGAAGGGGGGACGGAGAAGGCUAUGUUGGCCGGGCGACGGUUGUCCCGGUUUAAGCGUGUAGGCUGGUUUUCCAGGCAAAUCCGGAAAAUCAAGGCUGAGGCGUGAUGACGAGGCACUACGGUGCUGAAGCAACAAAUGCCCUGCUUCCAGGAAAAGCCUCUAAGCAUCAGGUAACAUCAAAUCGUACCCCAAACCGACACAGGUGGUCAGGUAGAGAAUACCAAGGCGCUUGAGAGAACUCGGGUGAAGGAACUAGGCAAAAUGGUGCCGUAACUUCGGGAGAAGGCACGCUGAUAUGUAGGUGAAGCGACUUGCUCGUGGAGCUGAAAUCAGUCGAAGAUACCAGCUGGCUGCAACUGUUUAUUAAAAACACAGCACUGUGCAAACACGAAAGUGGACGUAUACGGUGUGACGCCUGCCCGGUGCCGGAAGGUUAAUUGAUGGGGUUAGCGGUAACGCGAAGCUCUUGAUCGAAGCCCCGGUAAACGGCGGCCGUAACUAUAACGGUCCUAAGGUAGCGAAAUUCCUUGUCGGGUAAGUUCCGACCUGCACGAAUGGCGUAACGAUUUGGGCGCUGUCUCAACCAUGGACCCGGUGAAAUUGUAUUAUUCGUGAAGAUGCGAAUUACCUGCGGAAGGACGGAAAGACCCCGUGAACCUUUACUGCAGCUUGACAUUGAUCGUUGGCUCGGCGCGUAGAGGAUAGGCAGGAGGCUGCGAAGCCCGGGCGCCAGCCCGGGCGGAGCCGACCUUGGAAUACUGCCCUCGUCGCGUCGGCGAUCUAACCCCCGGCCGUGAUCCGGCGGGGGGACCGUGUCAGGCGGGUAGUUUGACUGGGGCGGUCGCCUCCCAAAACGUAACGGAGGCGCGCAAAGGUCCGCUCAGAACGGUCGGCAACCGUUCGCAGAGCGCAAGAGUACAAGCGGGCUUGACUGCGAGGCCCACAAGCCGAGCAGAGACGAAAGUCGGUUCUAGUGAUCCGGCGGCACAGAGUGGAAUGGCCGUCGCUCAACGGAUAAAAGGUACUCCGGGGAUAACAGGCUGAUCUUGCCCAAGAGUCCACAUCGACGGCAAGGUUU